rnacentral:rRNA from 1 species
UACGUAGGGUGCGAGCGUUGUCCGGAAUUAUUGGGCGUAAAGAGCUCGUAGGCGGUUUGUUGCGUCUAUCGUGAAAACCUGCGGCUUAACUGUGGGCUUGCGGUGGAUACGGGCAGACUUGAGUUCGGUAGGGGAGACUGGAAUUCCUGGUGUAGCGGUGAAAUGCGCAGAUAUCAGGAGGAACACCGGUGGCGAAGGCGGAUCUCUGGGCCAUUACUGACGCUGAGGAGCGAAAGCGUGGGGAGCGAACAGG